UACGGGGGGAGCAAGCGUUGUUCGGAUUUACUGGGCGUAAAGGGCGCGUAGGCGGUCAGCACAAGUCAGUUGUGAAAUCUCCGGGCUUAACUCGGAAAGGUCAACUGAUACUGUGCGACUAGAGUGCGGAAGGGGCUACUGGAAUUCUCGGUGUAGCGGUGAAAUGCGUAGAUAUCGAGAGGAACACCUGCGGCGAAGGCGGGUAGCUGGGCCGACACUGACGCUGAUGCGCGAAAGCUAGGGAGCGAACGGG
rnacentral:rRNA from 1 species